GAUGGUUUAGCUCAGUGGGUAGAGCUAAGGGCUCGCGACUGAGAGGUCCGGGUUCGAAUCUCGCAAAAGGCG
rnacentral:tRNA from 1 species